GGGGAUGCCUUGGUUUCGACUGGGGUGGAUGACUUUAGUUUGCAGCCUGACAUUGAGGAGAUGUCAUUAAAAAGCCUCAACCCUAUAAAUGCCAACUCUAAGUUCGCAUUCGCUCUUGCAGCCUGACGGCUGCUGAGCCGGGCGGUGACUGCCUUGGAACAGAAAGUCACUCAUUGCUAGACCUGGCAAGGAUAUGCACUGUAGUACCUGCUUGACACAUGGCUGUGUAUAGAAUACUGUUUGAAGCAUCAGGACGGGGGUUCGAAUCCCCCCAUCUCCAC
rnacentral:tmRNA from 1 species